GCGAACAAAUGCACAUAAAACGGUCAAACUCAUAGAACUCAACUGACAGAUAUCCAAGGUAAAUGUCAGUUUCGAUUAAAUUUUUGAUUAGACUGAACGAGUUGUCACUCUGACAAUAAACAAAUCGAAUAUUAAUUGAUUAAAAAGAAGCAAUUGCCAUUCAAAAGGAGUUUUAAUUCACCGCUACAUUGAGGAGGCGAAGUGCUGGACUAACGUGAACCCUCGAGGCGCUCUUUAAGAGCCUCAAAGCUCUAAGUGGACCACUGAUUUUGCAACAUUGCUACCUCCAACAAUGAAGCAAAGUUUUCCAAAAUAAAACCCAAAAAAAGUGUAGAUACUGACUGGAGAGAACGCAUCUGCAAACAAUCUGAAGGAAUUCUGGCAAAAAAAAACAAAAAAGUGAAUUUUUUGUCUGCUUUUGCCAAUCCUUUCAAGUUGCCUGCAGAUUUUCAUAUAGCAGUCCUUCAGGAGAAAAACAAAAUAUGCAAGAAGAUGCUGGAAGACAGAACAGUUUGCGAAAAAUAUAAACACUG